UCUCACUUAGAAUGUUGGGUAAGGCUAAUGACAGUAGAGGAGAGGGACAGUAAAAAUCAGUUGGUGGUUGGUGAAGGAAAAGAGAGAUUGAGAAAGGGAAUAAGGAGCUGAACGCUUGUUCUGGACUUUAUAUCUUGAACUGAUGGGACUUCUCUGGUAUUGAGAGGAGAUUGCGAAGAGUGGCAGGUGAUCUAGUCUGCCCACUGAAGCAUGCUGGAUCUUUGUUCAGGGAGAACUCUGAGGGAAUGAUCAACGAGAAAGGCGGGGAGAUAAAAAGAAUUCCCGCCAUUCUUACAAGAAUACAGAGAUAGGAAAGCACUGUUUUUACUAAUAAAACAACUCUUGCUUUGGGCUAUUUGGUGAGCUGAUAUGUCGGCAAUGCCUAUUUGAGCUGUGUGGGUGAGGGGAUUGAAACACCUCUUCUUCAUCAAUUUCAGACCUUCCCCCCCAGACAGGAUGAAAAAAGUGUCUGAGGUAACAGAGCAGAGUGAGGAGUGAAAGUGUGUUAACACCUUGAAAACCUAAGCUGAUGCAAGUGCCAGAAUUGCCCUUCUGACAGGUGUGGGGAGGUGAGAAGGCUUGACGCUUUGGAGAAGGGCUCCAGCAAGGAGGUGGCCGUUGCUGAACCAUGCCCCACCCCCGUGCGAUCUUCUCAUCGCAAUACACUUGACUCUGACACUGGCCCUAUGGGAUUUGGAAAAAAACAAAUUUGUGGACAUGUUCUCUUUGCUAUAUCGGGAAUCUGAGCCCCAGGAUGAUGGAAAAAGCUGAUGCCAAGUUCAAGGUCAAAGCUGUUGACCGUAAUUGGUCAAACUGGUUGGUAGAGUACAUGGUUUAUAUGGGAGUGGCUGUACAGAAACAGUUGUCACGGGCUGUCUCUAUGAUAAAAUACUUAGAUAUCAUUUACCAUGCAUUUUUGGAGUUCAGUGGGCCUGCUUGGGCCCGCUAUGAUGAAUCAUUUAGGUGGUGUUCAGCAUUGGAUCCUUCUCUCCCUUGGGAUUGCCCCCAACCAACGUUGUGGUUGAGGAUUACAACUUCUAAUCGCCCAGUUUGGGGGGAGUAUUCAGACAGUGGCCAUUUGGUGGUUAGGUCAUCAGCUACUCCUGUCUGCAGCCAGGCACAGGCCUCGGGUGGUUCUUUUCACCUAUUGUGUUGGGCAUUCGGGGUUAGUGGUGCGUGCUCAUGGCCCAUUGUCUGUAUCAUCACACAUGUUCACAUUAUUUUAGUAAUUGCCACAGGAUAAGUGUUGGCAUUCUGGUCGUAGGGAUUCAGCUGGGUUAAAGUGACACACACUUCAGAAGGGACCUAGUCCAAUAAGGUUGGUCCCGCUUUUGUCUUUAUUGCAAUGCUAUCAUGUUAUCCAGGAUAGUACUUAUUUGUGGGAAGGCUUCUGAGAUGGUUUCAGGAUACCUUACCAGGGCCUGAGGGUGGCCUUCUGGGCUGAUAACUUGAAAUCCAUAAGGGAUAUGGAGCACAUUGUUUGGGCUAAAAUUAAGAAGGAAGUUUGGGAAGAAAGCAUCUUGGGCCCCUUUUCUGCGCCACCUUUACCUACUUUAUGGGUUUCAUCCUUAGGAGUUGUUCCUAAGAGAGCAGUGGGGAGAUAUCGUUUAAUUCAUCACUUGUCAUUCCAGGCAAGCAGCUCCGUGAAUGAUGCUAUUCCUCCACAAUUGGGCUCAGUGCAGUAUGCCUCAUUUGAAUCAGCUGUGAAUAUGGUUCGGUCUCAGGGAAGGGGGGCUUUGCUAGCAAAAUGUGAUAUUAAAUCGGCUUUCUGGCUUUUGCCAAUCCACCCUGUUGACUUUGAUUUGUUGUGAUUUUUGUUCAAUGGGGCCUUUUAUAUAGAUCGGGCUCUGCCUAUGGGAGGCUCCAUUUCCUGUUCUGCAGUUGAGAGUUUCAGUUCCUUUUUACACUGGGCAGUGCAUGAGCACACAGGUCUGACAUUCGUGGUGCAUUUUCUAGACUCUUUUCUUUUUGCCAGUCCGGGUUUCUCCUUGAUUUGUGAGCAUCUCAUGACUUCUUUCCAGGAUCUGACUCAGGAGCUGGGGGUUCCCUUGGUGGAGGAGAAAUCUGAACAUCCAGCGACUUGUCGACCUUUUGGGGCACUGAAAUUGAUACUGUCCAUCAAUAUUGUCACUUAGUGGCUGAUAAGAUCUUGAACUUGGGCCAGCUCCUGGGUAGGUUACUGGAAGCCAAAAAGAUUACAUUGCGGGAGAAGCAGAGUGUUAUCGGUCAUCUGAACUUCACAUGCUGGGUCAUAGCGCCCUGUAGGCCUUUUCUAAGGCAUCUAUGUGAUGCUACUAAGGGGGUUUCAUGCUCCUCAUCAUCAUAUUUGUG